rnacentral:rRNA from 1 species
ACUCCUACGGGAGGCAGCAGUGGGGAAUCUUGCGCAAUGGACGAAAGUCUGACGCAGCGACGCCGCGUGGGUGAUGAAGGCCUUCGGGUUGUAAAGCCCUGUGGGGAGGGACGAAUAAGUCGUGGCUAAUAUCCACGAUGAUGACGGUACCUCCUUAGCAAGCACCGGCUAACUCUGUGCCAGCAGCCGCGGUAAGACAGAGGGUGCAAACGUUGUUCGGAAUUACUGGGCGUAAAGCGCGUGUAGGCGGCAAGGCAAGUCGGGUGUGAAAGCCCUGGGCUCAACCCAGGAAGUGCAUUCGAUACUGCCAAGCUGGAGUCCCGGAGAGGAUGGUGGAACUCUCGGUGUAGAGGUGAAAUUCGUAGAUAUCGAGAAGAACACCGGUGGCGAAGGCGGCCAUCUGGACGGUGACUGACGCUGAGACGCGAAAGCGUGGGGAGCAAACAGGAUUAGAUACCCUGGUAGUCCACGCCGUAAACGAUGGGUGCUAGGUGUCACGGGUAUUGACCCCUGUGGUGCCGAAGCCAACGCAUUAAGCACCCCGCCUGGGAAGUACGGCCGCAAGGCUAAAACUCAAAGGAAUUGACGG